UCCGGCUUGUCACCGGCAGUUUCCGCAGAGUGCCCGGCAUCACCCGAUGGCAACUGCGGAUAGGGGUUGCGCUCGUUGCGGGACUUAGCCCAACAUCUCACGACACGAGCUGACGACAGCCAUGCAGCACCUGUGUUCCGGCCAGCCGAACUGAAGGACCGGGUCUCCCCGGCCCACACCGGACAUGUCAAGGGCUGGUAAGGUUCUUCGCGUUGCGUCGAAUUAAACCACAUGCUCCACCGCUUGUGCGGGCCCCCGUCAAUUCCUUUGAGUUUCAGCCUUGCGGCCGUACUCCCCAGGCGGGGCACUUAUCGCGUUAGCUGCGACACGGAAGGGGUCGAUCCCACCCGCGUCUAGUGCCCAUCGUUUACGGCGUGGACUAC
rnacentral:misc_RNA from 1 species